rnacentral:lncRNA from 1 species
UUUUGCUGACUUUUGCGCGAGGGACUCGAUCUUAUCAAUCACACUGAUAAAAUCCAGUCAACAUUGCAUUGGUUGCUCGUUGGAAGGUAAUUUUCGCACCAAAACAAUGAAUCUGAGGGAUAAGGCCAAAACAUGCUUGCGUGCUACGAACUGUUUCAGGAUCUGGUCUUAAUGCAACCCGUCAUAAAUUAUCAUAAAGCGAAUCCUAAUCUUAUGAUCUUUUAUGCCUUCCAACAUACUAGAUGACGCUACCAUGGCGACAUGACAAGAUUGCUGCUAUGAUUAGAUCGGAUCUGGAUCGAGGGGUACUCCUUUUUGCUUUCUUUUUGACCCCCUACUCUGGAUCAUCUUAAUUCCAUGGUUUGUCAAAUCUCCAGGCUGGACAGACAAUGACUUAAUUCAAAAAUAAUAAAAUAAAAAAAAAUAUAAAGUACUAAACAACGACUUUCUUUCAUAUCCAACCAACUUAGAUCCAAUCUGAUUCAUUUUUAAGGACAUGUGGGGUUAGAUCGGAUUCUAAAAUUGAAUCUAUUCCAUUUUCUAGGUCAGGUCUAAGUUUACUAAAUUCAGACCUGCCACGAUUCGACCCAUUUGAAAUUUAGGUAAUUUUGAAUUUUCAAUCUUACGACCCGACUCGACCUGACCCAAAUCUAUAAAGUUAUUUGGGCUCACGGAGGUGCAAACACAAGUUCU